rnacentral:rRNA from 1 species
GACGAACGCUGGCGGCGUGCUUAACACAUGCAAGUCGAACGGAAAGGCCCUGCUUGCAGGGUACUCGAGUGGCGAACGGGUGAGUAACACGUGGGUGAUCUGCCCUGCACUUCGGGAUAAGCCUGGGAAACUGGGUCGAAUACCGGAUAGGAGCCAUUUUUAGUGUGAUGGUUGGAAAGUUUUUUCGGUGUAGGAUGAGCUCGCGGCCUAUCAGCUUGUUGGUGGGGUAAUGGCCUACCAAGGCGGCGACGGGUAGCCGGCCUGAGAGGGUGGACGGCCACAUUGGGACUGAGAUACGGCCCAGACUCCUACGGGAGGCAGCAGUGGGGAAUAUUGCACAAUGGGCGCAAGCCUGAUGCAGCGACGCCGCGUGGGGGAGGACGGCCUUCGGGUUGUAAACUCCUUUCGCUAGGGACGAAGCUUUUUGUGACGGUACCUAGAUAAGAAGCACCGGCUAACUACGUG